CACAAACUAAAAUUUAAAAAGUUUCACAAAAUAAAUUUCCAAAUACACAUUUGUACUAAUUAGUUAAUAGCAUCUGCAAUACAUAAGUCUUGUACAAUAAUCAAAAAUUGAAGGAAAAACUUGCCAAUGUGAGGCUUGAUUAUAACAGAGAUCAGAAAUAAUGUACAAAAUUUUGCAGUGAACAUAAGUAUUUGCUUGAUGAUUCAUGUUGUCACCUUCAUCGCACCCCCCCCCCCCCCUUUAUCUUCAUGCAUCUAAGAAUAUAUGAAGCACACUUACUAGACUGAAAUAAUGAAAUAACAUGAUCUUGUGAGAAACUUAUAUUUGAAUUCUCAAAACAUAUAAAGAUGCAUAUACAGUUACUAAUUAAAAAUAUUCAAUAAAUCAUGGAAUAAGAAAAAAUACUUAGCCAUGAAUUAGGUGAAAAAAGAUUUAAAGUUUUUUCAAACACAGAAGACAAAUGAGAAGCAUUUAAAUAAACAUCAUAAAUAGGGGAUGGAAAAAAGAAGUAAAACUUACAAUUUGGCAUAAAAAGAGAUUGAAAUUUCUCAAAGGCACAUUUUUCUUGAGUACCCUGUAAAUCAAAAACAAAUAAUUGAAGCAGAAACCCAAGUUAAUUGCUUGUAAGACACAAAACCUAUCAAAUCUUCAAAAUCGCACUCACUACUUAUGAAAUAUAAGGCAUAAUAUCUCUCAAAUUGUUAGAAUAACUCGUAAAUUGAAGUUAAAAAUCUAAAUCCAAGUAAAUGUAUGGAGAUUCAGAAACUCUAUGAUAUAGAGACAUGAGCUUACCCGGAUAGAGACAAACCAACACGUUAAAUUUCUGUCUAUAAAUAGAGAACCAGUGGAGAUACCAUCUUGUUCCUCUUUAUCUUUCUUGUGGCCUUAAUUAAGGCCGACUACUGAAGGUGGAAGAAAGACAUAAGAAAAUGGGGAGGGAGAGUGCGGCUGAGGGAGGAAGUAGGAAGUUUAGGUUUAGGUUUUAGAUUUACAUCGUCUACUUCUUA
rnacentral:lncRNA from 1 species